UAGGAAGCGUGAGGCCCUGCCAAAAAAAAAAAUUCCCACUAGGUUUUCAGUAUGCUACCUUGUCAGCAAUCAACUGAUUGGGAACAACA
rnacentral:snoRNA from 1 species